CUCCUUUUCUUCUUCUAGUGGAUUUUUUUUUUCCUUUUCUUCUUCGUGGAUCGUCGGCGGCGGGCGGCGGCGUGGGGGCGGCCUAGAACUGUGUGUCGUAGGCGGCCGGGGGCGCCGCGGUGGUGGCCUCGCUGUGUUUAGCCGGCGGCGGGCGCCGGCUGGUCGGGUGGCCGUGUGUCGUCGUGCUGCUGCCGCUCAGUCGGGUCGGCAGGGUGCUGGGGUGCGGUCCGCCGGUGCGUCGGUGUGCGUCGAUCGUCGCCGUUCGACCGCUGCGUCGAGGAAGAGACUUAGACUGGGAGAGGUUUAAAAGAACUUAGGGACAUUCGGCGUGUCCGACAACACCAUACCGAGCCUCAAAUUGGCUCUUGUUCUGGUCUUGGCGAGAUAAACAUGAACACCACAAACCCGAGACAAGGAAGAAGAUGGAGGAACCACAUACCGUUUCUUCACCGAAACCCUCUCCCCUGUCGUAUCGCCGACAUCACUUACUCGUCUGGUUUACAGACUUUGACGGUUUAGACUUAAAACUCUGGGUGGUAUCACGUAGCCUAGAAGGCUUGCUGUGAAAGUCAAGAGUUCAAUUUUGAAAACUCGGUACACUACGCCUCAUGUGGCUAAUGUGAGGAACGCUCCUCGUUUUCGCACGUUACUGGAAGGGAUCCCUAGUGUACUAUAUAGCCCUCUCCGUAACGGGUGGACUUUUGCUCUUCGACAUGACAGACUAAGGUCGUGGUUUCCCAAUACAACGAGGAAAAGGCACCGGCUUUUCGGCGCUAAUACAAAGAAUACGGUUACACGGUGUGUUCUCAGAAUGCCAACUUUUCCGGUAGGUUUUGACCCACGUGAUGCUCCCGUUGCAAAAGUCCAAAGGACCACCGCCUUGUGUCAAAGGAGUCCCACGCCUGUUCAUAUAUCUGGUCGAACGAAGACAAUAGGGUUAAUGGCCCCCUCUUCACUCUUGACGUGAGCUGUGACCAACACCCCAACGGUCAAACCCACGAAUGGACAACUUCUUUCUACAAAACUGAUACAGUAAGCGAGGUUUUCUAUUAGUACUCCGUGUUCAUGUCAAACGUGACCUCUCUCCGCAUGGACGUAUAUAACCACAGGAACCUAGUUACUUCGAGAGUAAAGGUAGGGCUCAGAAACUGUACCGUGUAACGAGCUCUACAAAUUAAGGUACCUCGCCUUCAUUGCCAUACAUGUACUACCUUCAACUAUCCCAUGAAUCCGGCCCACCCAUAACCCAUGAUAGUCCGGGUGGGUAACCAACCUUUUAAGUGAUGUUCCCUACCGUUGCCUGGUUUCUACUAGAGGCCUCACUCGUCUCUUUUUAUCUUGUUAAGCGUCUUGAAGAAACGACCUUCUUCUAUAGACUCUUCCUACCAUAACGAUAUACCUCUUUCUCUAAUUUACUGUUUAGAACGGGCUCCUUCGUUCUAUUAAGUUUUCAACGGUUCACACUCAACUGUUCGCUCUCACUACAUACCAUAUUCUUUUACCUUCGGACAUAUUGAGGCGAAGGACUCCAAUUUUCGCACAGUCUCCAACGACCACCACUUGAUCUCGGUAAAGGGGUCUCCGAGUUACGUCAUGGUGGAGCCUAUCGGGCACCAAAACAUGGACCCAAGAGUCAAGUUUGUAUAGUCCUCCUGUUAUUUGAGACCGUCUUUGUACAAUUACGAAUGUUCUUUUGGUUACUGAACGAACUAUGACCUUCCAUGGCGUUGUAUUACCUGUACUUACGUCCAGAACCAUCGAAACGGCGACAUGACCUCAGAGGUUUCGACACCCAGUACUUACAGCAAGGCAAGUAACGUCUAUGAAGAUGAAAUCCACAUUAGAUACUCGCUCCUAAUUAUCCUUACAUAGUGCUGACCACACUUCCCAAAAGAUGAAUGGGUUCCUGUAUACUGGAGUAUGUACGAUUGCCACAGAAGUCAAACAUGGUCUUGUUCACAUUUAAACUUCUAUAUGAUGACCUUUACCUGGCCUAGAAUGCCGGUCUCCCGCGUCAAUAUUAGGCACUGUGCCAACUGCGAGAACAUUUCCACCUCUUUUAUCGGUUACGGUACUCCACCCUCUGUUCUGACCGGCUGGUACUCCCGCCGGGAGCACAAGGACUCUUCUACGAGAAACGUCAAUUCGUUAUGACCUGACGGCUGUCGUUCUCGGCGGCGAUUGUACAGACCUAAUAACAAGAGCGAAGAGAAGUCCUAUUGAAACAGGGGCCGUCGCAAGCAACGUUCAUGUGUAAUCUGGCGCACAUCUCUUGACUUCUUGGUUCGGUUACUGUUUGAUCUUCUCUCAUUAUACAGAAGAUAAAUACAUGACUUCGACUUAUUGUAUGAUC
rnacentral:rRNA from 1 species